AACGAACGCUGGCGGCAUGCCUAACACAUGCAAGUCGAACGAAAACUCCGGCUUUCGUGGCGGAAGGGUGCGUACUGCGUGGGCAAACGCCCUUAGGACCGGAAUAUCUUCUGGAACGAGGUGCUAAUAAAGGAUAAUGUCUUCGGUCUAAUGCUCUAUCGCCUUUGGAUGUGCCGGCGUUGGUUUAGCUAGUUGGUAGGGUAAAGGCGUAUCAGGGCGCGGACCAAUAGCUGGUUAGUGAGGAUGGGCAGCCACACUGGGGCUGAGGGGCGGCCCAGAUUCCUACGGGAGGAAGCAGUGCGGAAUAUUGGACAAGGGGCGAAAGGCUGAGGCAGCAAGGCCGCGUGAGUGAUGAAGGCCUUAGGGUUGUAAAGCUCUUUUACCCGGGAGGAUAAUGACGGUACCGGGAGAAUAAGCACCGGCUAACUCCGUG
rnacentral:rRNA from 1 species